UGUAAUUUCUUGUGUUAUAAAGAAACAUGCGAUCCUCGCCACUAAAAUGAAGAACACUCCAGCCUUGUGCACUGUGGCAACAACAUGAAUGCGCAAAUAUUCACCAAUACGUGACCCUUCUCGUCACCCUAUAUUUAUACAGAAUGUGCUCUACUUCAUCUGCAGUAAUAAGGACAUCGUGGUUUAUAGAGUAUUGCUACGGUCUUGAUGUCUGAUAAAUCAACUGUAUGCGGUUUCAAAACCUGCCGCCUCGUCCCACAGGUCGUGACCGGCAUCCAGUGUUUCUAAGCUGCUGCCUCUUUUUGUGUAUUUAUCUCUUGUCUGUCUUAUGUUCCUUGUAGUGUUUUAAUGUUGAUUCUUAUAGAUCACAUGGUACCUAGUGUAUUAUUACUUCUCUCCAUUGGUUAAGAAUGCGGUCAGUUCAUUCAAACGUUUUUUUGUUUUUCUUAGGGUAAGUGAGGCAGUGCAGCGGAGUCUGACGGGUCAGUGUUGGUGUGGCAGUAGUGGUGUGAGGGUGCGUCGCUGUGAGCUCUGCCUGGCUGUGACUGGGCCGCUCCAGCCGGGGGUUGCCAGGAUGGGUGGACGGACGGUCAUUGCCAGCGUGCCGGCGGCCAUGCUUGGUGUGCUCAUGAUGGGUGUGCUCUCCCCUAACGCCACGGCCUCCAUCUUCCCCGCCGUUAACACCGCAGCAUCCAGCUAAGGUGCAGUAAAGGUCACGCCAGGACACAGCCACGAGGACUGUCAGGUCAGGGAGAGAUACAGCAUUCCAUUCCUCUCCAUUCUUGACAGCAGUGGAAAGGUCACCAAUAUUGUGUCAGAGUUUGAGGUCAGGGAGAGGAAAUUGAGCCUGUGUUUAGAAAUGCUUUGCUCUCACCAAGAUUAUUUGCAAAGGCCACAGAGAUACCUAGCUGGGUUCUCAAGAUUAAUAAUGUAGAAAUGUUGUUAAUCUAUCACUAGAACCAUUAAAACAUUCUUGAAAACCCAUAUUAUUUCAUGAUGAGUAUUUUUUCAAGGCUACAGAGAUACCUAACUGGGUUCUCAAGAUUAAUAAUGUAGAAAUGUUGUUAAUCUAUCACUAGAACCAUUAAAACAUUCUUGAAAACCCAUAUUAUUUCAUGAUGAGUAUUUUUUCAAGGCCACAGAGAUACUUAGCCAGGUUCUCAAGAGUGUUUCUCCUGUUAAUAAUAUAGAAAUGUUGUUAUUGUGUCACUAGAACCUUACAAACAUUCUUAAAAACCUGUGUAGCUUCAUCUAGAGCCCUUUUGAAAUAGUGGAGGUCUGGCGCCGAGAUGUUUCAGAGCGUAGGCCUUAGAUGCAUGAAAGGUGUAUAAUAUUCAUUGUGGUUCUUGAGCUGUGAUAGUAUUUGUCAAGUCUUGCUAAUGAUGAACUGUAGCAGUACUGUUGUCUGCACUGUUUACCACCACAAAGACUGACCUAAGUCUUGCUAAU